rnacentral:rRNA from 1 species
AGAACGAACGCUGGCGGCAUGCCUAAUACAUGCAAGUCGAACGAACUCUUCGGAGUUAGUGGCGCACGGGUGCGUAACGCGUGGGAAUCUGCCCCUUGGUUCGGAAUAACAGUUGGAAACGACUGCUAAUACCGGAUGAUGACGAAAGUCCAAAGAUUUAUCGCCAAGGGAUGAGCCCGCGUAGGAUUAGCUAGUUGGUGAGGUAAAGGCUCACCAAGGCAACGAUCCUUAGCUGGUCUGAGAGGAUGAUCAGCCACACUGGGACUGAGACACGGCCCAGACUCCUACGGGAGGCAGCAGUGGGGAAUAUUGGACAAUGGGCGCAAGCCUGAUCCAGCCAUACCGCGUGGGUGAAGAAGGCCUU